rnacentral:rRNA from 1 species
UAGGGAAUAUUGGACAAUGGGGGCAACCCUGAUCCAGCCAUGCCGCGUGAGUGAAGAAGGCCCUCGGGUUGUAAAGCUCUUUUGUCCGGAAAGAAAGGCUUCGGGUUAAUACCCCGGGGUUCUGACGGUACCGGAAGAAUAAGCACCGGCUAACUUCGUGCCAGCAGCCGCGGUAAUACGAAGGGUGCAAGCGUUACUCGGAAUUACGGGGCGUAAAGCGUGCGUAGGUGGUUGUUUAAGUCUGAUGUGAAAGCCCUGGGCUCAACCUGGGAAUGGCAUUGGAAACUGGGCAGCUAGAGUGCGGUAGAGGGUAGUGGAAUUCCCGGUGUAGCAGUGAAAUGCGUAGAGAUCGGGAGGAACAUCUGUGGCGAAGGCGACUGCCUGGACCAGCACUGACACUGAGGCACGAAAGCGUGGGGAGCAAACA